AUAUAAUUUUACAAACGCAGUAUAUGUAAAGAAGCAUAAACGGUGGUAGCCGAAGCUUUGAAGCACACAGAACUCAACACUACAAAACCAAACAGAUUUCAAGAACUAGAAGAAGAAGAAGAAUAGUUCAAGUUUGUAGUUGAAGCCAUUAGUGUCCUCAUCAGCAAAAGGAAGGGGAGGAAGAAAUAGUAAGUUGCAGAUGGCCAAUAUUGAUAUUGAAGGGAUUCUUAAGGAACUUCCUAAUGAUGGGCGUAUUCCCAAAACGAAAAUUGUUUGUACUUUGGGACCUGCUUCUCGAUCGGUGACUAUGAUCGAGAAGCUUCUUAGGGCUGGUAUGAAUGUUGCUCGUUUCAAUUUUUCUCACGGUACACAUGAGUAUCAUCAAGAGACUUUGAACAAUCUCAGGACCGCCAUGCAGAAUACUCAAAUCCUUUGCGCCGUCAUGCUUGAUACUAAGGGACCAGAAAUUCGGACUGGUUUCUUGAAGGAUGGGAAACCAAUUCAACUGAAAGAAGGCCAAGAAGUGAUCAUAACUACGGAUUAUAGCAUCAAGGGGGAUGAAGAAAUGAUCUCAAUGAGUUAUCAGAAGCUUGCUGUGGACUUGAAGCCAGGAAAUAAUAUAUUGUGUUCAGAUGGCACAAUCACCCUCACAGUCUUGUCUUGUGAUCCAGAAGCUGGGAGGGUGGUAUGUCGUUGUGAAAACACAGCAAUGUUGGGAGAGAGAAAGAAUGUGAAUCUUCCUGGUGUAGUGGUAGAUCUUCCCACUCUGACAGAAAAGGAUAAAGAAGAUAUUCUUGGUUGGGGUGUUCCCAAUAGUAUUGAUAUGAUUGCCCUUUCGUUUGUUCGCAAGGGUUCUGAUCUCGUCACUGUCCGCAAGAUUCUUGGCCCCCAUGCCAAACAUAUAAAACUGAUGUCAAAGGUUGAGAACCAGGAGGGAGUUAUCAAUUUUGAUGAAAUUUUGCGUGAGACUGAUGCAUUCAUGGUUGCUCGAGGUGAUCUUGGAAUGGAAAUUCCAGUUGAGAAGAUCUUCUUGGCACAAAAAAUGAUGAUUUACAAGUGUAAUCUUGCUGGCAAGCCUGUGGUUACAGCUACACAGAUGCUUGAAUCAAUGAUCAAAUCUCCACGGCCAACCCGUGCAGAGGCUACAGAUGUCGCUAAUGCUGUUCUUGAUGGCACUGAUUGCGUUAUGCUUAGUGGUGAGAGUGCAGCUGGGUCUUACCCUGAAAUUGCUGUAAAGAUCAUGGCUCGUAUUUGUAUUGAAGCAGAAUCAUCCUUGGACUAUGGUGUUGUUUUUAAGGAGAUGAUAAGGGCCACCCCACUUCCAAUGAGUCCAUUGGAGAGUCUUGCUUCCUCAGCCGUUCGAACUGCUAACAAGGCAAGAGCAAAACUCAUCGUCGUGUUGACUCGUGGUGGAACCACUGCCAAGUUGGUUGCUAAGUAUAGGCCAGCUGUUCCCAUCCUCUCAGUCGUCGUUCCAGUUUUAACUACCGAUUCUUUCGAUUGGACUUGCAGCGACGAAUCCCCAGCCAGACACAGCCUGAUCCACAGAGGCUUGAUUCCUAUAUUGGCUGAAGGAUCUGCUAAGGCCACAGAUGCCGAAUCCACAGAAGUAAUACUUGAAGCUGCACUGAAAUCCGCUAUGGGGAAAGGACUGUGCAAACCUGGGGAUGCCAUUGUCGCACUUCACCGAAUUGGAGCUGCCUCCGUCAUCAAGAUAUGCAUUGUGAAAUGAAUCAAAUAAACAAGCAAAUUCGGCAUCUGACUCCUUCAUCCAGAAGUUGCUCAGACCAAAUCUCAACUAGAGAAUAAGAAGGUUUCAAAGUGGUGGUGUCUCCCAAUUUAGAGUUUUGUAGAUACAGAUACGUCAACGAUCGUAAGUUUCCAAUUCUCUGUAUUUCUGUUAUUCCAUUAUUUCAAAGCAUGCUUAGCCAUAGAUAAAGUUUUGCCAAUGUAUUGAAAUUUUUUAGGUUCCCAGUUCGUAAUUAAAUUGAGGUAUCUGUUAAUUCUUCCACUGCGCAGGGCUUUUAUCCUUUUCGGGUUAUCACUGUUGAGUUGGGUUAUGGUAAUCCAACCAUUGUUUGCGGGAAGGGUUAUCAUAACUCUUCUUCUCUCUCUCCUUCUUAAAACAUCUUUCAACUC